UACGGGGGGGGUAAGCGUUGUUCGGAAUUACUGGGCGUAAAGGGCUCGUAGGCGGCCAACUAAGUCGGACGUGAAAUCCCUCAGCUUAACUGGGGAACUGCGUCCGAUACUGGAUGGCUUGGAUUUGGGAGAGGGAUGCGGAAUUCCAGGUGUAGCGGUGAAAUGCGUAGAUAUCUGGAGGAACACCGGUGGCGAAGGCGGCAUCCUGGACCGGUAUUGACGCUGAGGCGCGAAAGCCAGGGGAGCAAACGGG
rnacentral:rRNA from 1 species